rnacentral:lncRNA from 1 species
GGGCAGAAACUCCUCUGGGUUCUUCCAGAGGUUGGGGUCUCUCCCAAUUGCCCAAACGUUUACGUGGACUUGGGUUUUCGGGUAAAUGUGGUACCCGUUUAUCUCAAAAUGUGACAUGGUUUCUCUUGGAACUAGAAGUGGGACGGGAGGAUGCAGUCUCAAAGUUUCUUUGACCACCAUCUUGAGGUAGUGAAGCUGAUCGACAUCACCCUUCGUGACUUUUCCUUUUUUUCCAAUGGAGCUUCUAACUUCAACCUGGGCUUUUUUCAUUAUUCUUGGGUUCCUAGCAAGCUCGGUCAUUGCCCAAGUUAGGGUGAUUGCACCAGUGUCCACUCCAGCCAAGAAUAAAUCCUGAGGCACAUGUUAAAAGUAGGCAAAAGAACACUUUAGUUCCAAGUAUACCAAGCUAAGCAUUAUGCCAUUCUUGGCUCAAAGAAACCAAGACGCAAAGUCAAAUUAAAUGAUAAUCGAUUGGCCCUUUUGUAGAUAGCUCCAAGGCACUCUACGUAACUGCUCCUGCCUCCCGUCUCUCUCCUCCACAUUUCCAUUUACAUCAUUAAUAGAACUUAUCAAGUAUUUUAUGACACGAGAUCUGACCAUAACUACAUUCAAACUUAACGAUGUAAAGUGUGUUGAGUUAUCCAAGUGUGAGCUUAGGAAAUGUGAUAUUAAGCUUCCCAAAUGGGGACCUGAUCUAUCAUUCAUCCUUUAAAUAGCUAAGAGUUGAAACAACAAUAAUACAUAUUCAUGAUACUUAACAAACUCAAAAAAGAAACGAAAAAAAAUGAGACGGAUCAAAGGAGUAGGUUGGUGGCUUACCAUGAUGAUUGCUUUUGCACUAUCUUUAGUAAACUGUACAGCACCGGAUUCAGACCGUUCCCUCUCUAUUUUCAGCAGCACGUCGAUGAUGUCUUCAUGCUCCUCUUUCACCCUUCCUGGGUUGAGAUGGUCCUCAAUCACCCGUUCGUAGAAACCGUCCAUUUCAAGGAAACUCCUCUCAAGCCUUCCAUGAAGACCAGUGAGUCUAUCCACAAUCCGACCCACGUACGGAAAGAAAUCGGCUGCAGUGAACCCGCCCAACAAAGCCACGGCUUCAUGAACCACUUCUUGAAAUCUUCCGUCACCAAACUCACUCACUUGAAAACUCUUUCCGAAUGCAAUCCUGCAAAUUAUAUUUGCAGUGAGAGACAUUAACCUCUCGGUAAGAUCAAUAGGACUUCCAGAAGAAGAUGAUUGCGCAAUUGAAUCAAUCAGCAAAGUGACCUCCUCUUCUCUGAUGAACUGAAACGAUUGCACCCUUUUUGUGCUAAACACCUCAAGAACACAGAUCUUGCGUACUUCCCUCCAGUAAUCGCCGUAUGGCGCAAAACCUAUGUCUCGGUGAUUGUAUGAGAAUUUUCCAGGUCCAACUAAGGGAGGUCGACUGCAACAAUCAAUAUCAUGAGUUUUCAAGAAUUCCCUUGCAGCUUCCGCAGAGGAGACUACGACGGUAGGGACACCGAGCUGAAGGAGCAUGAUGGAGCCAUAUUUCUUAGAUAGUUGCCAUAAAGAGUAGUGAGGCAACGCACCAAGUUGGUGCAAAUUACCUAUAAUGGGAAGCUUAGUUGGGCCAGGAGGCAGCGGCUUCUUUUGCCCCUUCAACUCUAUUUUCCGUUUUAUGAGAAACAUAAGAGGGAGAAGUAGUAGAAGCAGAUGAAGCCAGAUUGAUGGAGAAUAGAGCGCCAUUGGAACUUGCUCGCUCUAUGAAUCUUGGGUGGGUUGUAGAUACACUACAAAAAGAUACUUUUAUAGUUGCGGUCCUAUCCUGCAGCUAAAAUUAACAAAAAGUUGUGACCAUAUAAAAUUUAGAUAGGGAUAAAAUAGAGCAAAGCUUAGUCAUAGACCAUAGAGGGUGCAGACAAAUCCUAUGGCUGUAGCCACUUAUAAAACUGCCACUAGAAGAAGCUAAAAAUUAUUAAUAGGCUAUACAGGGUUGCAGUUUUCUCUUGGCUGCUACACUUUUCUUGGCCCCUACUAUAGCUAAUUUAUGUGGACAUAAUUUAUUCACUACUAUAGAUCUUUAUUUUUAUUUAUUUAUUUAUUUCAAUGCCUUUUCCUAUUUAUCAAUUAAAAUAUUUUCAAGAGGAAAACCAAUAUCCGAACACAUUUACACACACACAAUUGCCAAUGCUUUCAACGUUAAUUGAAAAUAGAAAAUGCAAAAGACUUUGAUGAGCUGUUUUGCUGAACCACUGGCAAAAAGUAGUAAGCGAGCACUUGUGAGCAUCAAUUGCAAGGUAGGCACUUGCCAUUUCUCACCAGCCUGAGAUGCACUCACAAAUGCAUGGUUUUUGGUGUGUGCAGGAUGAGCCAUCCCUCUAAUGCUAGAAGGCAUUCUUGAGGUUUCUCACCACCAUGUCCUUUCCUCUUUCAGUUCGGUGUCCCGCUGAUCUGAUCUUCAGACAACACUAAAUAACUCAAAAUCAUAAAAUAUAUGUGUUAGUUUCUAAUUUAACAUAAAUAAUAAUCCAUAAAUUCAAAUUUCAAAGACCAAAGUUAAUUUAACAAUUAAACAAAAGUAAUAAAUCCAUUAAUCUAAAAUAAUUAAUAAAAAGCAAUAAGUCACAUCCUAUGAUAACUAAAAAGUGAUAAAUAUAAUUUAAUUUUAAAUAAUAAUAAUAACAAAUAAAUAAACAAUAAUCACCUUUAACAUAUGACAACUUUUACUCUAAAAAGAGCAUUUGAUGAAACUAAAAUUAAAUUAUAUUUAAGUUGUUAAAUUAAAACUUAUUAUUUAAUUUUUAUUUUAAAUAUUAAAAUUUUUUAUAAAAUUAUUUUAAAAAUUAUUUUAAAUCAUCAAAUUAACAUAUUUAUCCUCAUAAAUUAUAAUUAGGGUAAAGAAAGUCAAAUAAUAAUAAAGGUUGUGGAGUAACGAAAAAAAUCAUAGAGAUAAUUAAGAUAAAUCAUAAUAAAAAAAAGGAAAAUAAAGAUGUAAACUUAAUAAUAAUUAAUUGUUUUUAUUUAUUAUUUAAAAUUAUUUUUUAUUUUAAGUUAUUUUAUCAACUAUAUUUAAUGUAUUUAAUUACUUAUAAGUUGUAACUCGUAACACAGACACCCACUAAAUGAGAUUUUUGAUAAAAGUAUAGCAGUUUUAAAAAAUUAUUCCUAAAUUACCGUAGUAGAAAAAAUAAUUCCAAAUUUAUCGUAAUUUUGUUCAAAUAGAAAAGAGAAAAUAAUUUGUAAAUGAAAAAUAGUCUCUCCAGAAAAUAAGUAAAUCGUAUGUUGAGAAAUGGUCUUUUAAAAAAGUGAGACAUCCUCUUUUAAAGAGACGAUUUAAAAAAAUAAUAAUAAAAAAAUUAAAACAAGUGAGAAAUUAUAUCUUAAAAAGGCACGAUUUCCAAAUAUAUAUAUAAAAUUCUCACAAAAAAAAAGGAAAAAAACAAACAAGAUUUUGUCUCUUCAAAACACGAUUUCCACACACAAAAAGUGAUUAAAAAAACCCAAGUGGGCAGCACAAAAGUGAGAAGAGAGUAUUUUGGCCUUUCCAAGCUUGAAAAAGAGCACCCAACUAGGCUUUUCGUCUACAUUGGUAAUACGUUGAAUGCAAGUGUUAGGAAUGGGUUUCGGGGAUUUUGGUUGAUUUGUUUUGUAAGGGUAGUUUGAUACCGGAGCUUCAGGAUCCAGGGACUUGGGAGAAGUUGAGGAAGAGGUUGAGGAAGGAUGGGAGGAUUAUGGUUAAUGUUGGAGGGAGUUGUGUUGAGGCAAAGGAUUCAAGGAGAGAUGGGAAGGUGGUAAUGGAGGAAUCAUUGAAGGCAAUGCAUAAGGUCUUUGGUGAUCAGUCUUUGUUUUGAAUCUCGGAAACAGGAAGGAGGAUAGCUCCAUUGCUCUCACCGGCAAAUUGUCGGAUCUUGAUGAAUGGAAGAAAGUUCUUCCCUGAUCUUUAAGGUUUUAUGUGGAUGUGGACGCCCGUCAGUUCCUAGUGUGACUGUUUCCAGUAACCACUCUCUGAGAAGAAGCAUUCAGGAGCAGUCUACUGAUACAAUUCAUAUAUUUGUGUUUAUUCCUGUUAGAAGCAAUGUUUUUUUUCCCCGGAUUGUGCAAAGCUUAUUUAUGAGGUUUGAAUUUUUCUCCCACCUAAAAUCAUCCUCUCUUUUGUUUUUUUGUUCAGGGCAUCUAAGUAGUAAGGGAGUCAUAUGAUUGUAAAAUGGAUUUAUAAUAUAUUUUUAUAUUAAAUUAUAUUAAUUUUUUUAUAAUAUAUAAAUAAUUAAUUGUAUUAUAAUAUAUAUUAAAUUUUAUUUUUUUUAGUUUUUAAAUUAUCUCUUGAAAAGACUAUCUCCAAUUGCUUAAUUUAAAUUAUCUUUUGGAAAUCAUGCUCUUUUUUUUUAUCGUCUCUUCCAAAUGAAAUUUCUCAUUCUUAGUAAUUUGGAAAGAGAUAUUUUUUUUUUUAAAAAAAAAGAAAAGGUCAUAAAUUUGAAGAGACGAUUUAAAAAAAAAUAUAUCCCUCCCUCCUACCUAACAAAAUCUACCAUAGAUUUGAAAUUAUUUUUUUCAUUACGAUAAUUUAAAAAUUAUUUUUUAAAAUUACGAUACUCUUGUCAAAAAUCCCUCUACCAUUCUAAGUUGACCGGUCGGUCUAAGUCAUGGCUCCUAUUUUCUUGCCUUCUCCUAUUGCAGCAUUGCACCACGUGACAUCUCCUUUUCUUUCUACCAGGUCCUUUUCCUAUCUGCAACGAUUUUCAUCAAUUUCAAUUUGGCCACAGAUAGUGCAAACAUUUUAAUAUUUUUAUUCUUUUUAUACGGGAGAGAAAAGGGGAGAAAUAAAUAAAUUUAAAUUUCUUUUUAUUUUUCUACUUUUCUUUUCUUGUUAACAGUGAUGGAGAAUUGGCACAAGGUUAAGAGCAAACUUCUUACGGACAGUAAGACCUGCUGCUUCUUCCAUGCUAAUAUCUGCCUCCCUAAUCCCAUUCGGCAAGUUCCAAUUGAAACGAUAUAAAAGAUUAGCAAGUGCGAGCUCCACUGUUGCAAUCGCCAUAUACAUACCCGGGCAAAUUCUUCUUCCCGCUCCGAAAGGCAGUAGCUCAAAAUGUUGUCCUCUAAAAUCUACAGAGUUGUCCAUAAACCUCUCGGGCAAAAACUCCUCUGGGUUCUUCCAGAGGUUGGGGUCUCGCCCAAUUGCCCAAACGUUUACGUGGACUUGGGUUUUGGGGUAAAUGUGGUACCCGUUUAUCUCAAAAUGUGACAUGGUUUCUCUUGGAAGUAGAAGUGGGGCGGGAGGAUGCAGUCUCAAAGUUUCUUUGACCACCACCUUGAGGUAGUGAAGCUGAUCAACAUCACUCUCCGUGACUUUUCCUUUAUUUCCAAUGGAGCUUCUAACUUCAGCCUGGGCUUUUUUCAUUAUUCCUGGGUUCCUAGCAAGCUCGGUCAUUGCCCAAGCUACGGUGAUUGCACCAGUGUCCACUCCAGCCAAGAAUAAAUCCUGAGGCACAUGUUAAAAGUAAGCAAAAGAACGCUUUAGUUCCAAGUAUACCAAGCUAAGCAUUAUGCCAUUCUUGGCUCAAAGAACCCAAGACGCAAAGUCAAAUUAAAUGAUAAUCGAUUGCCCCUUUUGUAGAUAGCUCCAAGGCACUCUACGUAAUUUUGCGCCUUCCUCCUCCUCCGUCUCUCUCUUUCAAUGCUUUCAUAAUCAAACCAAGUCUUUAAAUAGAAAAAAAUAUUGGUUCAUAAAUUACCGGUCAAACCAGUAGGUAAACCACGAUGUAACGGGUAACAUUAUAAAUAUAUUAUUACAUAUUAUUAAAAUUAAAAAUAAUUAUAAAAAAUUAUAUAUAUAUAUAUAUAUAUAAUAUUUAAAUGUGAAUAUAUUAAAAAUGAAAGAAAAAUUAUUUAUUUAAUUUUAAUUAAUUUUAUAAUUUUAGAAAAUAUUAUAUGUUUUAUUUAAUAUUAUAAAUUUUUUUAGUAAAGAAUUUUUUUUUUUUGUUUGCCACAUGAAGGAACAAGUCGGAUGUAGUGGAGUGGUCUCUUAACUCAUUUAACGAGUUUAAGGUCCCAGCCCCUUUAAUGAUAAAAUUAAGGAUGGGGAACUGGGCUUUAAUGAUAAAAAGGGUGGGAAGGGAUGGAAGGGAGGGAGGCGGAGGGAGGUGGACUCGGCCUGUUUCAACGAAUAAAAAGGGGUUGCAUUUGAGCUAUUAUUAAGCUUCCAAAAUGGGGAGAUCAGGUGAUCUGAUCUAUCAUUCAUCCUUUAAACGGCUAAAAGUUGAAACAACUAUACUACACACUUAAGAAACUCAAAAAAGAAAAAAAAAAAAAAAGGAGUAGGUUGGUGACUUACCAUAAGGAUUGCUUUCGCGUUAUCUUUAGUAAACUGUAGGGCACUGGAUUCAGAUUGUUCCCUCUCUAUUCUCAGCAGCACGUCGAUGAUGUCUUCAUGCUCCUCUUUCACCCUUCCUGGGUUGAGAUGGUCUUCGAUCACCUGUUGGUAGAAGCCGUCCAUUUCAUGGAAACUCCUCUCAAGCCUUCCAUGAAGACCAGUGAGUCUAUCCACAAUCCGACCCACGUACGGAAAGAAAUCGGAUGCAGUGAGCCCGCCCAACAAAGCCAUGGCUUCAUGAACCACUUCUUGAAAUCUUCCGUCACCAAACUCACUCGCUUGAAAACUCUUUCCGAAUGCAAUCCUACAAAUUAUAUUUGCUGUGAGAGACAUUAGCCUCUCGGUAAGAUCAAUAGGACUUCCAGAAGAAGACGAUUGCACAAUUGAAUCAAUCAGCAAAGCGACCUCCUCUUCUCUGAUGAACUGAAACGACUGCACCCUUUUUGUGCUAAACACCUCGAGAACGCAGAUCUUGCGUACCUCCCUCCAGUAGUCGCCGUAUGGCGCAAAAGAUAUGUCUCGGUGAUUGUAUGAGAAUUUUCCAAGUCCAACUAAGGGAGGUCGACUGCAACAAUCAAUAUCAUGAGUUUUCAAGAAUUCCCUUGCAGCUUCCGCAGAGGAGACUACGACGGUAGGGACACCAAGCUGAAGGAGCAUGAUGGAGCCAUAUUUCUUAGAUAGUUGCCAUAAAGAGUAGUGAGGCAACGCACCAAGUUGGUGCAAAUUACCUAUAAUGGGAAGCUUAGUAGGGCCAGGAGGCAGCGGCUUCUUUUGCCCCUUCAACUCUAUUUUCCGUUUUAUGAGAAACAUAAGAGGGAGAAGUAGCAGAAGCAGAUGAAGCCAGAUUGAUGGAGAAUAGAGCGCCAUUGGAGCUUGCUCGCUCUAUGAAUCUUGGGUGGGAUGUACUUAGGAUACACAUACAUCAUCGGCUUCAACCCCAAUUCCAACUUCUACCACUAUUUUGUCCUAGCAGGCCUUCCAAUUAUCGUUUCCCCUUUUUUAUUCUAUAGCAUUACAUGCCACGUUUCGCAACGACAAGCACAGAUUUGUCUUUUCUUUCUUUCUUUCUUUACCACAAAUUUUGUGAAGUGAUACAAAGCAAGAAAAAAUAUAUUUUCUUUAUAAAACAAUUUUUUUUUUUUUGUCUACAAAUGUCCCCAUUCCAAGUCAUAACAUGCGGAUACAUUCUCAUGUAUACGAGGGCAUAUACAUACAUUUCCAUGUGCACGGAGCCGAUCUUGAAGCUAACUUUCAUUUUUUUAUUUUUUUUAAAACAAAUAUUUUAAUAAGAAGUUUCCAAUUUUAAAAUAUCUUUCCCAUUUUUUUUCAAACCCUAUUUUGUUUUUUUCCUUUUUUUCUCACUUGAUAUACCUUGUAUUAACCCAAAGUUUCAUUGGAACAUUCUCUCAAAUAUAUAGAUAAUUUUUGUCCAUCCCGAGAUCCAUUGAAUCCAAAGUAAAUUAUAAAUUAUUUUUAUAUAUUUAAUAACAUAAUAUAAAUUUUUUUUAUUAAUUUAUAAAACUUAAAUAUUUUAAUCAUGAAUAUUAUUAAAUAUUAGAAAAUUUUUAAUUUUUUAAAUAAAAAAUAUUAAAAUAUGGUAUAAUUUUUAUUUCAAAUAUUAAAAAUAAUAUGUGUUUUAUAUAUAUAUCAUUCAAUAUAUUUCAGGAUAUCAAUAUGAUAUCCUUGGAUAUACAUAUUUUAUCCUUAUCUAUUCAAUUUUGUCAACCAAAUAUAACCUAAAUUAAUGAGAAGUAAUUUAUUGAAAAUCUAUAACAAGCACAAUUUAACAUCCAUGAAGAUCUACAGGACUUCUUGAGUGAAACUUAUAAAUCCGGAGUUGAGAUGUCAAUUCUAGUGGCUAGAGCAUUGUUCAAUUUUAUAUGACCAGAUGAUAAAGAAAUUAAGGCAAAAAAUGCAAAUGAAGUUGUUUCAUGAGGAUGAACUUUGCAUAGAUUGCAAUGUCAAAUCUCAGAUCCUUUUUCAUUCAAUAAGGAAAACGAAAACAUAAAUGUAUGAGACGUGGACGGCACUCCCAACACUUACCUAAUAAAGAGUUCUCUUUUAGUGGCCCCAUUUCAAAUGUCGUGCUUCAUUUUACUUCAUCCAUAUAAACCAACAAACAUUUUGUUGUUUUCAGUGGUUAUGUCACGCACCAAAGCCAACUAGGGCCCAAGAUUUCACUAGAAUCUUAGCAACACAAGCAUCAUGCCACUCAAUAUUGCAGUAACACUCCCAGGAAUAGGGGCUAAUGGGCCCCUAAUUAAAAUCAUUCAAGCUACAAUGCAUCCAUGACCUCUAAAAGCUUUCACAUUUUUCUCUCAAUUUGCUUUUCCAUAUAUAUGCAAUAAGGCAACUUUCAAAAAAUCAAAGGGUAACUAUUUCUUAUCUUUAUUUGCAAAAGCAAUGAUUGAUAUCACUUUUUAUUUAGGACUAAGGAGAUUGUUUGCGGCUCACCAUGAGGAUUGCUUUAAUAUGAUCUUUAUUUAGCUUAAUCGCACCAAAUUUAGGGUGUUCGAUCCCUUUCUGUUUGCAGCAGCACAUCAAUGAAAUUUUCAUGUUCCUCUUUCACAGCUUAUUAAAUUGAGAUCAUGGAGUCCAAUCACCUGCUAAUAGAAACCAAUGAGGAAAAUGUCGGGAUAUAUCAGUGAUAUAUCGUGUAUCGGGAGGGGUUGAUACGAUAUUUCGUAGAGAAAAAUCAGAGGGGAGAUAUUUCCGUAAAUAUCGCCAAAAUAUCGGCGAUAUAUUGGCUCGAGGAGAUAUAUAGGAGAUUUUAAAAAAAAAAAUCACCUCUGGUGGCAAAAUAUCGGCAAAAUAUUGAUGAUAUAUCAGAGAUAAAUCGUCAAUUUUUUUGCAAUAUUUCCCCUCUUUCAUACAACGUGAUCAAACGGCCCAAAUCACGCCCGUGUUGAUAUGACGGCCUAGAUGUGAUUCCAAUGGUAAUAUGGCGAUCCAACGGCCAGAUUGCUCCCAGCUUUUUAUCCAACAGCCAAAAUUGAUUUUCAACGAUAAAUUAAUGUUCCAACGGCUAUUUUGGCCCAAAUUUUUUCUAUAAAUAGCCCAAAUUUAAUCUAUUUCAUCCAUUUUUGCUUUCAUUCUUCAUUUGCUCUCUCAUUACUCCAAUUUUUAUUAAGGUUGCUCAAUUAUUUAAUCAUUUUAAGGUAUAUUUGUUUUAAAUUGUAAUUAAUUUUGUUUGCAAUUAUAAUUAAUUCAUGUAUUUUCAAUUAAUUACUAUGUUUGUAAUAUGGAUGAAUUAAUACUAUUUUUACAUUCAAUUGUAAUUAAUUUUUAUAUUUUUAUUGAAUUAACUUAGGUUAAUUUGAUUAUUUAAUUAUAAAUUGAUAUGUUUAUUUUAGAUGAUUAUUUGUGAUUUAUUUUCACAUUUAGAAUUAAAUUAAACUAGUUAACUUUGCUAAAUUAUUUAAUUAAUUUAAUUAACAUGAACUACUAUAUUUUGAAUAUGAAAUAUGUUUAUUUAAUGAAUUUAAUGUGUAAAAAUUAUUGAUAUUUAAUUAAAUGAAGUAUUUUAUGUGACUUUAUAAUGAGAACAAUUAUAAAAUUAACAUUUCUUAUAGAUCGACAUGAUAUAAUUACAUCUAAUAUCGCAAAUUAUAUCAUAUGUAUAUCAAAUUUUUUAAUAAAACAACUUUAAAAUGUCCAUUAUACUUAUAAUUAUAUUAUUAUGAGGUUUUCCUUGCAUUUCCAUGAGUUUUUAACAAUUUUAAGCCUAUCAAUAUUUUUUUCCAGAAUAUCCGUGAUUACCGAUAUUUUCAUCCUUGGUAGAAACCAUCCAAUUCAUAGUAUGUCCUCUCGAGCCACCCAUAAAGACGAGUGAGCCUAAUCCACAAAGAUUGUCUAAAGCAUUGAAAAGUAUAGAAGUUCUAAAGAGAAACAUGCAUUGUAUAGAAAGUACAUGAUUUUAGUAUGCUAUACGUGGAUAAUAAGGUACUUUGUAAGGUUGCAAAAGAUGAUACAAUUGUUUAUGGUUCAAGUUAAAAAGUCUAUAUUAUAAAGUUUCUUAUAAAUGUCUUGUAUUUAAAUAGGUAAUUAUUUUCCAUCUAAAUGAAAGAAAAUAUAUCUGUUAAUGACUACUUUGAUGAGUUUGAUAGAACCAUGAGAGACAUAAGAAAUAUUAUGUCAAAAUUAUUGAUAAAGAUAAGUAAUAAUUUUGAUGUGUUCCCUUCCAAGUUUUUAUAAGAACCUUGUGAAUACCGUAAUAUCUUAUAGAAAUAAUCAUUCCAUAAAGGAGAUGGGGAUAUAAUUAAAUAUAAGGGAGUUUAAGAAUUAAAUGUCUAAGAAUAGAAAAAAGAAAAAAAAAACCUCAUAAAAAUAUCAAUUGGCUAGAAGGUAAAUAGGGAAAAAAAAAAAAAAAACCUUAAGCAAGAUAGGUCGAGAUCUAUAUCAAACUUCAAGGAAAAACCAAGCAUUUCAAUUACAACAAGAAAGAACGUAAUGAGAGGAAUGGUCUAGAAUGUAAAAGAAAGGCAAAAGAGAAAAUUGUUCUUUUAUGAUAUUGUAGCGGCCAAGGAAAUUCCAUGUUAUAUCCCUUUGUAGUUUUUGUAAGUGACUCAAAUAAUGAAUGAAUCCUUGAUAUAGGGUAAUCUUACCAUUUAACUUUGAGUGGAUACCCAUCAAUUUGAUGGUAGGAAAAUUAUUAUGAGAAAUACUACAACUUACAAGAUUGUUAGGAUAUGCACAAUUCAAAUUAAGAUUCUUAAUGAUAUUUUGGAUGAUACUAAUUGAUGUACAAUAUAUUCCAAUGUUGAAAAAAAGCUGAUUUCUUUUGAUACUUUUCAUUCUAAAAAGGUGCAUAUACAAAGGUAGAAGUGGACUAGGGAGAAUAUUGAAGGGUGCUCUUUUCAUAAUGAGAGGACAAAAAGUUAAUAAUUCUCAUACAUUACAAGACAACAUAGUUAUAGGUCCAAUUAUAUACACAAUAAGGUGGGACUAUUUUGAGCAAAGUGGAUUCACUUGAUAAAAAGAUAUUAGAGAGUGAGUAAUAAAAGUAAAUCCUUUUGAAAAAAAAUCUAAAUGUAGAUUUGUUUUGAAAAUAUUCACAAAAAUAGUGUUAGCUUUAGAAUUAAGGUCAUAGUAAACUGUGAAACCAAGGUGUGAUUAAUCUUGAUUUUGAUAAUAACAAAAUAAGGUUUAGAACUAAUGAUCAUAUUUCAAGUGUGAUUAGGCAAGACGAUUUCCAAAGUGACAAUCACAAAGACAAAUCAAGCCAAAGAGAAAUCAUGAAGAAGAAUACCACCUCAAAGAGAAGAGUUUUUCAAGACCAAAGCUUCAUAAGAUCUCUUUGUAAGGUUGUUGGUGCACUAAGACUUUCAUGCAUUUCAUUAUUUAUUUAUGUACUAAAAUUAUCCAAGAGUAAUAUUGUUUUAAAUAUCUUAAGAAUUGGAUGAUUUCAUGUUUUCAACUAAAACCUUGUGUUAAAUGAUUUUCAAACUUGUGUUAAAAGGUUUUAAGUUGAAAAAGGUUAGGUGUUGAGCCAAAAAAAUGGCUCGACCGGUUGUGCUCAUUCGGUCGAGGACCGGUUAAGGGAGGCCAAAAAGUUUCUCUCUCUCCCAGUGGCCUUCUCUUCCCGAUCAAGGUUGAACCUCAACCGGUUGAGGUCCGGUCGAGGUCAUGUUGAGGUCCGGUUGAGGCCCAACAGUCACUUACCAAGCAUUAAAUGCUAACGGCUAGUCAACCGGUCGACUCCUACCUCGACCAAUCGAACCCCCAACGGCUAGUUUGGUUUUUUUCUUCUAUAAAAAUGCUCUAAUCUUCAUUGUUUCAUGAGUUUAACCUUCCCAAAUCUUUCUUGAUUAUAUUUGAGCCUUGGAAGAGUAUUUUUGAGUGCACCAUUAUUUCAAAACUUGCAUAUCUUUAGUGCACCAUUCAAUCCUAAUUUUUCUUGUAUCAUUUGAACUUAAAGUUCUUGUGCUAAGAUUUUUGAAAGAUCAUUCAUUUGUAAAUCUUUAAAAGGAAGUUUCUCAAGUGUGAGGUAUCACUUGAGGGGUUGUUCAAGAGUGGGAUAUCUCUUGAGAAGUGUAAAGGGUGCUUGGAGCCAAAAAUCCAAGAGGGUGAAUUGGAACCAUAAUCCAAUUGUAUUGCUUGAAGGCUUGGUUUGGAAGCCUUGGAUUAGUAGAACCUCAAGCUCGGGAUUGAAGCUAAACGAGAGUGGAUAUAGGCCGGGUUGCACCGAACCACUAUAAACUCUUGUGUUUGCAUUCUCUCUUCACUACUCUUUAAUUUAUAUGCAAUUGUCUAUAUAUUGAUUAUUAUAUACUUGCAUAUAAUUGUCUCUUGCAUUCACUGGUUUAAAUUUGAGAAAAGAGAUCAUCACUCUAUUCACCCCCCUUUAGGGUGAUUACCAUAGGUUGGAUUAGCCUAAUAUUUCUAGCAUAAACUAUAAUUUUUAUUACCAUAAUUAAUGACUAUGGUUUAACCUUAAACUUAAAACCAAGGUCAGUGAUUAUAGUUUUAACAUAAUUUUUUUAAAAAAAAUAAUAAAAUAUAUGUUAAUGAAGAACUAGUUUGAUGAAUAUUUUUAAAAGUAAUCUAAAUUUGGAAUUUCUUUUUCUUGAAAAAAAUUAAUUUUGUGGCAAAUUAUGAAUUUUAAAGAGUAAAAAAUUUUAAAUUAGUUUAAAAAAUUAUUUUUAAAAACUUGUAACAGAUCCAAAACUGCCUUGACACCGACGUUAUACAAAUGUAGGCAUUAAGCCCACAAAUUAAUAAAAUUUGAUAUUUUUAUUUUUAGGGCUACAUUUGGUCCCAGAAAAUACUAAGGAAAGAAAAAAAAAAUGUAAAGGAAAAUGAUUUUUUCAUAUUUGGUUGUCCUAUAAAAAAUAUCAAAGAAAAUCAAAUAUAAUUUAAACUAAUUAAAAAUUUAUGUAUUUUUAAAUUAUUUAAUUUUUAUAUUGAUGAGUUAAAAAAAAUAAAUUGAGUUUAAAGUAACAAAAAAAUAAUUUAUCAACUUUUAAUCUUUUUUAUUUAUUUUUCUCUAUUUUUUCUUUCCUUCUAUUUUUCUUUUGUAUUUUUUUUUUUUUUUUUUGCAUUUUCCUUCAAAUUUUAUGGAACCAAACAUAGCCCAGAGUGGGAUCAAAAUCCAUAACAUAAAAGAUAUUCUCAUGUGGGUCAGGCUUGGACCUAGAGACAGGUCGAAGUAGCAUCUUGUAAAAUCCAUGAGGUAAAACAUAUGAUUAAAAAUCAAUUAAAAUGGGCCAAGGGCCCCAUAACAGAGCCCAUUAGAUACGUGGCACAACAUCGAUGCGCUGUGUAAACCUAUAGAUGACAGGGUCACAGAGUUGCCCCUUGGAACAUCUAACCCUAGGUGCCGUAUAUUCCAUUUUGAAAAUAUAAAAAAAGUUGACUCAACCACGGUUUGCCUGCAUCUAACCAUGGUCGUCAACGUGUCCGAUCUCUUUGAAAGAACUAGGGUUAGGGUUAGGGUUCGAUCCGAUUGCGACCAAUGGAGAUGGAAAGUGUGACUGAGUUUCCUCAUACUCACAUGGAUCGGCGUCCUCGGAAGAGGCCUAGGUUUGCUUGGGAUGCACCUCAACUUCACCCUAAGGUAAAACUCGAAACCUUUUUGGCUGCUUUUGGUUGCCCAGAAUUGGAGUUCCCAUAUUUGGAUUCGGAUUUUGUGCAACCAAACGCAGCUUUGUAUCAUGAUUGUCCUUUUUUUAAAAUUAGAAAUGUUCCAAAUACAUUUUUUAAAAAUAAUUUAUCCAGUAUAUAUAUAUACACAUUCAUAGAAUCUUUUUGAAAUUUAAAAAAUAUUUAAUAAAUCAACAUAAUAACUUCAGAAAUUAAUAUAUUGUAAUGAUUAAAUUUAGGUUAUUAAGUAUAUUUAGUAUUAUAAUUUAAAAUCAAAAUUAAUUUUUGACAAGAAAACUUAAUGACUUAAUAUAACUUAAUAAUUUAAACAUAAAAUUACUUUAAAUUAUUAUUAAGUAUUAUGUUUUAUGAAAUUCUAAUUGACUUAUUUUUCUUGGCAUAUAAGUGUAAACAUAAUUUUCUUGAUUUCAAAAGAAAACACGACAUAGCCUUCAUGUUGGUAGUGGGAGCAAAGACAACAUAAGAAUUUUUGGACUGUUUGACGAUAUUUCAUUAUAUUUGUUUUUAAAAAUUAUGUUUAAGUUAAAGAAUGAAAAGUAAACUUUUGAUGUUUUCUAAAAGGAAAAAUGUUUUACAAUUAAUUUUGAAGUGCAUUCUAUAUAUAUAUAUAUAUAUAUAUAUAUAUAUAUAUAUAUAUAUAUAUAUAUAUAUAUAUAUAUAAAAGGGAAAAAAACAGGUUUGAAUAAAUUGUUCUUAAAAACAAAUUUUUAUUUUGAUUUUAAAAAUGUUGUUAAUCAAUUUAUAUGAUUUAAACUAUAUUUAAUUUAAGUCUUAUUAAAAAUAAAAAUUAAUUUGUUAUUAUAAAUAAAUUUAAAAAUAUAUAGUUUUUAGUAAAAUAUGAAUAUGAAUAUUAUAGUGAAAUCAUAAAUUGUUUUAUAUAUAUAUAAAAAAAAAUGAUAUUGCCGCUAUAACAAAUAUGAUGUUUUAAAAAUAUAUAGAUUUUAGUAAAAUAUGAAUACUAAUAUCAUAAUGAAAUCAUAAAUUGUAUUUUUUUUUCAUAAAAAAUGAUAUUAUAUAUUUUUGUAGUUAAUUAUGAAGAUAUGGAUAUUAAUAUCUUUAUAUAAUACAAUUAUUUUUUUUUAAAUUUAAUUUCUUUUAAUUUGAAAAAAAAAAUCAUAACAUAGAUAAAUUUAGUAACAUAUUUUGAAGAAUUAAUUUUUAAAUUUUCAAAUUAUUUUUUAAAAUUAGAAUAUUUAUUAUUAAGUCUCACUUGAUUUGGUUUCACUUAAUUCAAAAUUGAGUUGUCGAGUAAGAAAAUUUAAAAUAAACAAUAAAAUUAUGAUGUAUUAUAUAUCAUAUUUGGUCUAUUAUUUUUUAUAGUGAUUAAAUAUAUUUUUAAGUUUCAAAUCAUUUUUAAAAAUUAUUAAAUGUUAUAAUAAAUUUAAUAUAUUAAGUCUUGUUUGAUCUGAAAUUUAUUUGUCAAUAAUAAAAUUUAUAAAAAUAUAAUUAUGUGUAAAAAAACAAUAAUAAAAUUAUUCUAGACCAAUUCUUGUAAAUGGAUUUUUGUUAUAAAGUGUAUUAUAUUUUUAGUUGUAAUCAUUUUUCUCAAUUCAUAAACUUGUUAAUAAAUCCAAUGCAUUCAAAUCUACUUGUUUAAUAAAAAAUUUAUGAAAGUAUAGUUUAAAAGUGCAAAAUAGAGUCAUUUUUUUAUCCAUAAAUUUAUAGUAUUAAUUGGUUGAUUAUUUGAGUUUUAAAUUAUUUUUAAAAAUUACUAAAUUCUUUAAUAAAUCUAACGCAUUGAGUUUUAUUUGAUUUUGAGUUUAUUUACCUAAUUAAAAAAUUCACAACAUAUACUUAUAUGUAAGGAAAAAACUAACAAAGUCAUUUACAAUGAAUUUUGAUCUAUCAGUUUCUAAUGGUACUUGAAUUAGUUUUAAAUUGCAUAACUUUCUAGUACUAACUAGAUUAGUUCUUGAGUUCCAAAUUAUCUUCAAGUUUCAAAUUAUUAGUUCUAGCUUAGUUUUUGAGUUUCAAAUUAUUUUUAAAUAAAAUUAUUUCUAAAAAUGAUUAAAUUGUAUGCAUCAAAUAUCAUUUUAUUUGAGGUCUCAUUGUCUAAUAAUUUUUUUUUUUAAAGAAGUAGAAAGAAAUUUGAAAAAAUAAUUAUAAUUAAAAAAGAUAUCAUAUUUGAAGAUUUUAUAUAUAUAUAUAUAUAUAUAUAGUGAUUGGUGAAGAGAAAAUAAAAUGAGAAAAAGAGAUUGUGUUAUUUUUUUUAAUUAUUUUUUUAAGUUCUCCAAAUUUUCCGUUUAUUUUAAAAAAAAAACCAUUAAAAUAAUUUUUAUUUGUUUUCUACAAACUAUUCUUCAUUCCACUUUAAUUUUUAAAAAUUGUUUCCAAAUUGUUACCAAUGAAAAUGUUAUUAAUUUAAAAAAGCAAUUUCUUACCUUUAAAAAUAAAAUUUUAUUUUUAAAUCAUAACAAAAACACAUUAAAUUAUAAGAGUCAUAAACGACAAUGUUGAUAAGAAUCGCAAUCCUUUACUUUUUUUUUCUUUUUUGGCAUCAAUUUCACAAGACAUAUCGUCCUUAUUUCCCUAUGUUAACUAAGAAACAAAAAAUCACUUUACUUAUGAGUAAAGUCCUCCUCAAGAGAUGACCUUAAGAACCAACCUUUCCCACUUUGUGUUGAAAAGAAACCUUUAACAACUUUUGAUAAGUUGUGACACAAAUUAGGCUAUAAUGGUGGUAGAAGGUUGUCCUGAUACUGAAUUUGGCAUUAUGUACAAAAUGAGGUAAAAGAAUGACAAAAAAAUUGAACAUAAUUGAAAAAAAGAGGAAGAAUGCCCGUAAAAAACUAGUAAGUACCAAAGGGAAAUAGGGUCCUCCUCAUCAAUCGUAUCACUCUCUGCAUCUACCAAACUGCAAAAAUCCAUCUUUGCAUAUUGAAAGUGAUGGAGUAAAGCAGAAUUAUUCAUGAAGAAUUUUAACUUCUUCACUAAUAUCUUGAUAAAAAUGGUAAUUAUAUUUGUAUCAUCUACAUGGUAAUUAAUAUUUAUUUUAAUAUCUCACUUUAUCAUAAAUUGCAGAGGUUUUCACUUUCUUUUUAUUUUACACCCCUUAUUAUUUUAUUUUUAAAUAAAAAAGACAUGAGAAACUACACAUUUGUAAUUAGAAAUGAAAAUGAAAAUUAAAAAUUAUUUUUACAUUUUUUUUCAAACUAAUUUUAUUUAUUUUUUUCACCUUUGUAAAGAUUAAAAAUAUAUAAAAAAAUUGAGUAAUUUUAUCUAUAUUUAUUUUUUUGUAUUUUUUUUAGAGUAAAUCAAAUAUGAAAGGUAAAUGAUUUUUUUUCUUAGUACUAUCUUAAACUAAGCGUUGCUAUGCAUGGUAAGUUAUUAAAAUGAUGAUAAUGCCUUAUAAGAAGAAAGGCAACAAAAUUUUUCCCUUUUUCUUUUUCUAAUUUUCCUCAAUUUUUAUUCUCAUUUCUUUGGCGCAAGCUGUUUACAAUCCAAACGAAAUUGAACCUUCCAUGGAAAAGGAAAAAAAAAUAAAACAAAAUAAGAAGCACAAUCAAAUUUCAAAUUUUUUUUCCAUGAAAUAAAUUUCCUUUUUUUUUUAACAUUUUUCAUGGAAGAAACGAUAAAAAUGUUGGGAAAAAAACUAUUCAAAACUAAUUUAUUUUUAAUUUCAAAAACCUAAUUUAUUUUACCUUUUCUUCCUAUUUUUUUUCCCUCUGAUUUUUCUUUAAAACAUUUACGAGAACAAAGCAUAAUCAACCAAACAUAGCCUACACGUUUCCUAUGUCAUUUUCCCAGGAAAAAGGACUGGUGUUUAAUCUCCAUACUCCACUUAUUUUCAUUAAUUUAUCAGCAACUUAAAGUUUUCGUGGGACAAAUACAAAGAAUAUCAAGAACGAUUCCUCUUAUCACCGGUAUUGUUAACAGUGAUGGAGAAUUGGCACAAGGUUCAGAGCGAACUUCUUACGGACAGUAAGACCUGCUGCUUCUUCCAUGUUAAUAUCUGCCUCCCUCAUCCCAUUCGGCAAGUUCCAAUUGAAACGAUAUAAAAGAUUGGCAAGUGCGAGCUCCACUGUUGCAAUCACCAUAUACAUACCCGGGCAAAUUCUUCUACCCGCUCCGAAAGGCAGUAGCUCAAAAUGUUGUCCUCUAAAAUCUACAGAGUUGUCCAUAAACCUCUCGGGCAGAAACUCCUCUGGGUUCUUCCAGAGGUUGGGGUCUCGCCCAAUAGCCCAAACGUUUACUUGGACUUGGGUUUUCGGGUAAAUGUGGUAUCCGUUUAUCUCAAAAUGUGACAUGGUUUCUCUUGGAAGUAGAAGUGGGACGGGAGGAUGUAGUCUCAAAGUUUCUUUGACCACCAUCUUGAGGUAGUGAAGCUGAUCGACAUCACCCUCCGUGACUUUUCCUUUAUUUCCAAUGGAGUUUCUAACUUCAACCUGGGCUUUUUUCAUUAUUCUUGGGUUCCUAGCAAGCUCGGUCAUUGCCCAAGUUAGGGUGAUUGCACCAGUGUCCACUCCAGCCAAGAAUAAAUCCUGAGGCAC